CUCCACACCUGUGGAGUGGCAUACUUGUGUGUGGAUGUAUGUAGACAUGUAUGCAUACAUGCACCCACACAUACACAAGCACACUAACAAAUUUAGAAAUGAC
ensembl:miRNA